AGGGAAUCUUCCGCAAUGGGCGAAAGCCUGACGGAGCAACGCCGCGUGAGUGAUGAAGGUCUUCGGAUCGUAAAACUCUGUUAUUAGGGAAGAACAUAUGUGUAAGUAACUGUGCACAUCUUGACGGUACCUAAUCAGAAAGCCACGGCUAACUACGUGCCAGCAGCCGCGGUAAUACGUAGGUGGCAAGCGUUAUCCGGAAUUAUUGGGCGUAAAGCGCGCGUAGGCGGUUUUUUAAGUCUGAUGUGAAAGCCCACGGCUCAACCGUGGAGGGUCAUUGGAAACUGGAAAACUUGAGUGCAGAAGAGGAAAGUGGAAUUCCAUGUGUAGCGGUGAAAUGCGCAGAGAUAUGGAGGAACACCAGUGGCGAAGGCGACUUUCUGGUCUGUAACUGACGCUGAUGUGCGAAAGCGUGGGGAUCAAACAGGAUUAGAUACCCUGGUAGUCCACGCCGUAAACGAUGAGUGCUAAGUGUUAGGGGGUUUCCGCCCCUUAGUGCUGUAGCUAACGCAUUAAGCACUCCGCCUGGGGAGUACGACCGCAAGGUUG
rnacentral:rRNA from 1 species